GGGUUGUGAGGUUAAGCGACUAAGCGUACACGGUGGAUGCCCUGGCAGUCAGAGGCGAUGAAGGACGUGCUAAUCUGCGAUAAGCGCCGGUAAGGUGAUAUGAACCGUUAUAACCGGCGAUUUCCGAAUGGGGAAACCCAGUGUGAUUCGUCACACUAUCAUUAACUGAAUCCAUAGGUUAAUGAGGCGAACCGGGGGAACUGAAACAUCUAAGUACCCCGAGGAAAAGAAAUCAACCGAGAUUCCCCCAGUAGCGGCGAGCGAACGGGGAGGAGCCCAGAGCCUGAAUCAGCAUGUGUGUUAGUGGAAGCGUCUGGAAAGGCGCGCGAUACAGGGUGACAGCCCCGUACACAAAAGCGCAUGUGCUGUGAGCUCGAUGAGUAGGGCGGGACACGUGGUAUCCUGUCUGAAUAUGGGGGGACCAUCCUCCAAGGCUAAAUACUCCUGACUGACCGAUAGUGAACCAGUACCGUGAGGGAAAGGCGAAAAGAACCCCGGCGAGGGGAGUGAAAAAGAACCUGAAACCGUGUACGUACAAGCAGUGGGAGCCCCACCACUAAGCCAGUGGUGAACUCCACAUACGCAUCCUUUGCUGAGGAUACGGUUAACGGAGCGAAAGCGACGUUCAACCUCAAAAGAAGCAGAGGGGGCUUAGUGGUGGGGUGACUGCGUACCUUUUGUAUAAUGGGUCAGCGACUUAUAUUCUGUAGCAAGGUUAACCGUAUAGGGGAGCCGGAGGGAAACCGAGUCUUAAUUGGGCGUUAAGUUGCAGGGUAUAGACCCGAAACCCGGUGAUCUAGCCAUGGGCAGGUUGAAGGUUGGGUAACACUAACUGGAGGACCGAACCGACUAAUGUUGAAAAAUUAGCGGAUGACCUGUGGCUGGGGGUGAAAGGCCAAUCAAACCGGGAGAUAGCUGGUUCUCCCCGAAAGCUAUUUAGGUAGCGCCUCGUGAAUUCAUCUCCGGGGGUAGAGCACUGUUUCGGCUAGGGGGCCAUCCCGGCUUACCAACCCGAUGCAAACUGCGAAUACCGGAGAAUGUUAUCACGGGAGACACACGGCGGGUGCUAACGUCCGUCGUGAAGAGGGAAACAACCCAGACCGCCAGCUAAGGUCCCAAAGUCAUGGUUAAGUGGGAAACGAUGUGGGAAGGCCCAGACAGCCAGGAUGUUGGCUUAGAAGCAGCCAUCAUUUAAAGAAAGCGUAAUAGCUCACUGGUCGAGUCGGCCUGCGCGGAAGAUGUAACGGGGCUAAACCAUGCACCGAAGCUGCGGCAGCGACACUGUGUGUUGUUGGGUAGGGGAGCGUUCUGUAAGCCUGUGAAGGUGGCCUGUGAGGGUUGCUGGAGGUAUCAGAAGUGCGAAUGCUGACAUAAGUAACGAUAAAGCGGGUGAAAAGCCCGCUCGCCGGAAGACCAAGGGUUCCUGUCCAACGUUAAUCGGGGCAGGGUGAGUCGACCCCUAAGGCGAGGCCGAAAGGCGUAGUCGAUGGGAAACGGGUUAAUAUUCCCGUACUUGGUGUUACUGCGAAGGGGGGACGGAGAAGGCUAUGUUGGCCGGGCGACGGUUGUCCCGGUUUAAGCGUGUAGGUGUGUGUUCCAGGUAAAUCCGGUUCACUUUAACACUGAGGCGUGACGACGAGGCACUACGGUGCUGAAGCAACAAAUGCCCUGCUUCCAGGAAAAGCCUCUAAGCAUCAGGUAACAUCAAAUCGUACCCCAAACCGACACAGGUGGUCAGGUAGAGAAUACCAAGGCGCUUGAGAGAACUCGGGUGAAGGAACUAGGCAAAAUGGUGCCGUAACUUCGGGAGAAGGCACGCUGACACGUAGGUGAAGUGAUUUACUCAUGGAGCUGAAGUCAGUCGAAGAUACCAGCUGGCUGCAACUGUUUAUUAAAAACACAGCACUGUGCAAACACGAAAGUGGACGUAUACGGUGUGACGCCUGCCCGGUGCCGGAAGGUUAAUUGAUGGGGUCAGCGCAAGCGAAGCUCCUGAUCGAAGCCCCGGUAAACGGCGGCCGUAACUAUAACGGUCCUAAGGUAGCGAAAUUCCUUGUCGGGUAAGUUCCGACCUGCACGAAUGGCGUAAUGAUGGCCAGGCUGUCUCCACCCGAGACUCAGUGAAAUUGAACUCGCUGUGAAGAUGCAGUGUACCCGCGGCAAGACGGAAAGACCCCGUGAACCUUUACUAUAGCUUGACACUGAACAUUGAGCCUUGAUGUGUAGGAUAGGUGGGAGGCUUUGAAGUGUGGACGCCAGUCUGCAUGGAGCCGACCUUGAAAUACCACCCUUUAAUGUUUGAUGUUCUAACGUGGACCCGUAAUCCGGGUUGCGGACAGUGUCUGGUGGGUAGUUUGACUGGGGCGGUCUCCUCCUAAAGAGUAACGGAGGAGCACGAAGGUUGGCUAAUCCUGGUCGGACAUCAGGAGGUUAGUGCAAUGGCAUAAGCCAGCUUGACUGCGAGCGUGACGGCGCGAGCAGGUGCGAAAGCAGGUCAUAGUGAUCCGGUGGUUCUGAAUGGAAGGGCCAUCGCUCAACGGAUAAAAGGUACUCCGGGGAUAACAGGCUGAUACCGCCCAAGAGUUCAUAUCGACGGCGGUGUUUGGCACCUCGAUGUCGGCUCAUCACAUCCUGGGGCUGAAGUAGGUCCCAAGGGUAUGGCUGUUCGCCAUUUAAAGUGGUACGCGAGCUGGGUUUAGAACGUCGUGAGACAGUUCGGUCCCUAUCUGCCGUGGGCGCUGGAGAACUGAGGGGGGCUGCUCCUAGUACGAGAGGACCGGAGUGGACGCAUCACUGGUGUUCGGGUUGUCAUGCCAAUGGCACUGCCCGGUAGCUAAAUGCGGAAGAGAUAAGUGCUGAAAGCAUCUAAGCACGAAACUUGCCCCGAGAUGAGUUCUCCCUGAGACUUAGAGUCUCCUGAAGGAACGUUGAAGACGACGACGUUGAUAGGCCGGGUGUGUAAGCGCAGCGAUGCGUUGAGCUAACCGGUACUAAUGAACCGUGAGGCUUAACCUUACAACGCCGAAG
rnacentral:rRNA from 1 species